rnacentral:rRNA from 1 species
CCAGAUGAUCGAUCACUCUGGUACCACACGUCCCCCUCGUGCAUUGUCGGCCUGCCGGCUGCCGAGCGUCGGUCCCCUCGUUUGGGCUCUUCGCAGCCCUCUCUAGGUCCGGCGGGCGUCGCUCCGGCGGUGUCCCCGUGGUUUUUUUUCCCACUGGGCCCGUCGGUUGGGACGUCGGUAAUUUGUAUCCAACCCAACCCACCCCAAACCUCAAUUAAUCCUGAAGCAAUCAGCAGGCGCAGCCUCGUGUUGUGACCUCUAAACCAAAGACAACUCUCAACAACGGAUAUCUUGGCUCCCGUAUCGAUGAAGAACGCAGCGAAAUGCGAUACGUAGUGUGAAUUGCAGAAUUCCGUGAACCAUCGAAUCUUUGAACGCAAAUUGCGCCCGAGGCUUCGGCCGAGGGCAUGUCUGCCUCAGCGUCGGCUAACACCCUCGCCUCCCCUUCACCGGGUGAGUGCGGAUCUGGCCCUCCCGGCUCCGACUGAACUUGUUCAGCCGUCCGGGUCGGCUGAAGUGCAGAGGCUUGAGCAUGGACCCCGUUUGCAGGGCAAUGGCUUGGUAGGUAGCAUCGCUACGCAGCCUGCCGUCGCCCGAGGGGCCUUUGCUGGCGGCCCAGCAGGAACCGGGGCGUUACACCCCCGGCGUCUCACACUUUCGACCUGAGCUCAGGCAAGAUUACCCGCUGAACUUAAAGCAUAA